CCCUUAGAUGUUCUGGGCCGCACGCGCGCUACACUGACGAAUGCAACGAGCUUAUAACCUUGGCCGAAAGGUCUGGGUAAUCUCCAAAUUUCGUCGUGAUGGGGAUAGAUUAUUGCAAUUAUUAAUCUUCAACGAGGAGUGCCUAGUAAGCGCAAGUCAUCAGCUUGCGUUGAUUACGUCCCUGCCCUUUGUACACACCGCCCGUCGCUCCUACCGAUUGAAUGGUCCGGUGAAGCGUUCGGACCGUGGCCUUUGGACGGUUCGCCGUCUGUUGGCUGCGGGAAGUUCGUUAAACCUUAUCAUUUAGAGGAAGGAGAAGUCGUAACA
rnacentral:rRNA from 1 species